UACGGGGGGGGCAAGCGUUGUUCGGAAUUACUGGGCGUAAAGGGCUCGUAGGUGGCCAACUAAGUCAGACGUGAAAUCCCUCGGCUUAACCGGGGAACUGCGUCUGAUACUGGAUGGCUUGAGUUCGGGAGAGGGAUGCGGAAUUCCAGGUGUAGCGGUGAAAUGCGUAGAUAUCUGGAGGAACACCGGUGGCGAAGGCGGCAUCCUGGACCGACACUGACACUGAUGCGCGACAGCGUGGGGAGCAAACAGG
rnacentral:rRNA from 1 species